GACGAACCGAGCGAACGUUGUUCGGAAUCACUGGGCUUAAAGGGCGCGUAGGCGGGUGCUCAAGUCCGUGGUGAAAUCCUCCGGCUCAACCGGAGAACUGCCUCGGAUACUGGGUGCCUCGAGGGUGGUAGGGGUAUGCGGAACUAUCGGUGGAGCGGUGAAAUGCGUUGAUAUCGAUAGGAACUCCGGUGGUGAAGGCGGCAUACUGGACCACCUCUGACGCUGAGGCGCGAAAGCGUGGGGAGCAAACAGG
rnacentral:rRNA from 1 species